AACGAACGCUGGCGGCAGGCUUAACACAUGCAAGUCGAGCGCCCCGCAAGGGGAGUGGCAGACGGGUGAGUAACGCGUGGGAAUCUACCCAUCUCUACGGAAUAACGCAUGGAAACGUGUGCUAAUACCGUAUACGUCCUUCGGGAGAAAGAUUUAUCGGAGAUGGAUGAGCCCGCGUUGGAUUAGCUAGUUGGUGGGGUAAAGGCCUACCAAGGCGACGAUACAUAGCUGGUCUGAGAGGACGAUCAGCCACACUGGGACUGAGACACGGCCCAGACUCCUACGGGAGGCAGCAGUGGGGAAUAUUGGACAAUGGGCGCAAGCCUGAUCCAGCCAUGCCGCGUGAGUGAUGAAGGCCCUAGGGUUGUAAAGCUCUUUCACCGGUGAAGAUAAUGACGGUAACCGGAGAAGAAGCCCCGGCUAACUUCGUGCCAGCAGCCGCAGUAACAC
rnacentral:rRNA from 1 species